ACGGCCAGAAAGCAAAGGAGCGAGUCAAGGACCCACCACCAUGUGGCCAACAUUCGAGGUGCUAACUUUCAGUCGCGAUCCAUGCCACUGGCCAUGCUAAGGCAAUCUUGGGCCCAUCGUCAAUGAAUCUUUAAAAUGAUCCAUUCACCUAUCAACGCAAGGAGAUGAGCAAACCAGAAGAAACCUUGAUUGGCUGAUCUGAAAGAUAUUUGGGUAAUGAAUUAUCUAAUAGUUAACCUUUGAUUUGAUCAGUAAAACUGUAAAACAGUUUUUUUAAGGAAAUCGUUCUAUGCAAAAUAUCAUAAAUCAAAUUAAUAAAGAUAGGACUAUUAAAAUCUGAGCUAACAGGCUUGGCUCAUGGAAUCUAUAAUACUGUCAAUAUCAAGUUCAUAAGCAAUAAAUGAGGAAGGAGCAUCUCAUUUUGAAUGGUUUGCAUAUAAUAAGAUCAUUCAAGUUAGGGAAUGAGUUGCCUAAUUAGCAUCUUGACUAGUCGAACAGAAGGAAAAAUGUUGAAAUUAAUCCUUCAGCAUCACAAGUACUAAUCAACAAUCCCAAUUUUGACACAUCAUUUGACAGACGUGACAAAGCAUUUGUUAUUUGGAUCAUUGUGGUUUUACUACCCAAAGAAAGCAGAAAUUUGCUACAUAAGAAACUCUGUACUAUAAUAGAAACAGUGAAAUGAACUAGUAAUGACUAAUAAUUUCCUCUAAUAUCAUGUAUACCCCAAGCUAAACAUAAUCUAUUGUUUACAGUAUCGAUUCUUCUAAUAUUAGUACCCAUUAGUCUCAAAAUUUCACCUCUUCAAUUCUGUUUAGCCCCUCUUCCUCUGUCAUUUGAACUGCUGUAAAACGUCUAUUAUUUCGUUCCUUCCAGAUCCAGUAAAUACAAGCAUUCCAUCCAAGCUUCAAAAGAAUAGUUAUUAAUGCCUCCCUUUUAAUCUCCUCAUUGCCCACAUCAAUUCAUGCUGCCAAUUUCCAGCUUGCCUUGCAACUGACAGAGCUGCAAAAUUCCUUCCCAAUUUACUUUAGAGAACCUGCAACCAAAAAACAGAUGGUCCCUAGUUUCUUGCUCCUCAAAGCACAAUUUGCAUCUUCCAUCAAUAUUCAUCCCUCUCUGAAUAAACCUUGCUUUUAUAGGAAGUCGAUCCUGUAUAGCUAGUCAAGAUAUCACAAAAUGGGAACCAAAGCAACCUACUCCAUGGAACCUUUUCACUUCUUUCCCUUAUCCCAUACCAGAUCCUACUAGCCAUUUGAUUCUGCCCAGAGAGAUCCCAACCUCCUGAUUGAUCAAUAUAUCUAGGUGCCAAAUCCCUUCAAAAGUUUCCUCCAAUGCCAGCUUCUGUUUGAUUUCAUUGGGAUUUGCAUCAAGGACUCUCCUUUUACCACAUAUGCCUCAACCCAAGCAAUCCACAAAGAGCCUGCUUGAGUAAGGAUAAGCCAUAUAUGCUGUAGUAUACUUGCCUUCUUCCAGCUCUCCAAAUCUCUAAGACCCAAUCCUCCUUCAAUAAUCACAAGUACUUGACUAUCCGAUUCAAUAAUCAGAUCAUCUAAUCGCAAUGAUUUUAACCAUGAGAGAACCUCCCUGAUAGCAAACACUUCAACUAAACAAGGACUAUAUAAAAAAGCUUUUUCAAACCCAGAGAAGCAUUUAAUCUCACGGCCGUGACUAUCUCGGAUAAUAGCAACAAGCUCUACUAUAUUAUCUCGAUCCAAUCUCGAAGCAUCAACAUUACAUUUUAGCAUCUCGGAAGGAGGAGACCGCCAACGAAUUUAAAACUUAGUUGUUCAUGUAUUUCAUAUGAAUUAUUAGUGUAUCGAAACGUAUAUAUAUAUAAAAAAAAACUUAGAUAUGAUUAUGAUUCAAUUACGAAACCUAAAGAGUACAAAUAAAAAUGCUAUAUUGUUGUAAGAGGUUAACAUAUAGGGAAAGGAUCAUUCAUGUAAAAUAGAGUUAAUUGAGAUUUAAAAAAAAAAAAACCAUUAGUAAUGGUAGAUGUCAGCUGGAAAACUUUCACUUACCACCGGCCCUAUGCCUCUAUCAGCGGCGGCAUUUGGUGGUCCAGCCUAAUAUCUAGACAUGAGACCCUUCCUAAUAGCCUGGUUGAUUGAUGAAAAUAACCCCCUAAUUUUAGACUUUGUAGACAAGGCAACCUCCUUCAAGGUUGUACCUAUGUGUUUGAAAUACAGGUGUCCUUGAAUCAAAUUUGACUUCUCUUUCUAUUAUUUAAAAUUAAUGAAAUAGUUUUUAUUAUUU
rnacentral:lncRNA from 1 species